rnacentral:rRNA from 1 species
AGCGAACGCUGGCGGCAGGCCUAACUCAUGCAAGUCGAACGAAGUCUUCGGACUUAGUGGCGGACGGGUGAGUCACACGUGGGAACGUGCCUUUAGGUUCGGAAUAACUCAGGGAAACUUGUGCUAAUACCGAAUGUGCCCUUCGGGGGAAAGAUUUAUCGCCUUUAGAGCGGCCCGCGUCUGAUUAGCUAGUUGGUGAGGUAAAGGCUCACCAAGGCGACGAUCAGUAGCUGGUCUGAGAGGAUGAUCAGCCACAUUGGGACUGAGACACGGCCCAAACUCCUACGGGAGGCAGCAGUGGGGAAUCUUGCGCAAUGGGCGAAGCCUGACGCAGCCAUGCCGCGUGAAUGAUGAAGGUCUUAGGAUUGUAAAAUUCUUUCACCGGGGACGAUAAUGACGGUACCCGGAGAAGAAGCCCCGGCUAACUUCGUGCCAGCCGCCGCCGUAAUAC